AGAUCACCGAGGAAGCAGGAUGUGACCUGCCAGCUGAAAAAGCUGCCAACUGACAAAGUCGUUAUCAGAUGCUUACCAUGUGGGAAGUGCUGAGGCUACAGAUAUUCCUGAGCCAUAGGAGUUUACAGUCCAACAUGCAGACAGCUUCAUAUCUAUUGACGAUUCCUCUUUCUCAUUGCCUGUGACUGAUCACUGACCCAGCCUAGAUUUCCUCCAACGCAUGGCUUGCAGCCUUCACCUCUCAGAGCUCUGCCACUGCCAUCUUCGUCACAACUACAACUCAAGGACAUGAGCUAUUCACAGGCUGUCUCUGGCUGUGAGUGAGUCCAUCACCCAUGCUGAAUCAAGGGAAGCUGUAUCAAAAGCAAAGUAACUGGCAGAAGAUGAAUCUAUCAUGAUCAAUGAGGUAUGGAAAAAGAGGAGUUCAAAGCAAGCUACCUAUCCUGUGUCUGGCUCUCUGGCUCU